CCUACGGGUGACAGCAGUAGGGAAUUUUCGGCAAUGGGGGGAACCCUGACCGAGCAACGCCGCGUGAACGAAGAAGUUAUUCGUAAUGUAAAGUUCUUUUAACAGGGAAGAAAGAGAAAUUUGACGGUACCUGAAGAAUAAGCUCCGGCUAACUACGUGCCAGCAGCCGCGGUAAUACGUAGGGAGCGAGCGUUAUCCGGAAUUAUUGGGCGUAAAGGGUGCGUAGAUGGCAUAGUAAGUCUUUUGUAAAAAUGCUGGGCUCAACCCAGUAGGGCAAAAGAUACUGCAAAGCUAGAGUAUGACAGAGGCAAGUGGAACUACAUGUGUAGCGGUGAAAUGCGUAGAUAUUAGGAAGAACACCAGUGGCGAAGGCGGCUUUCUGGACUGAAACUGACGCUGAGGCACGAAAGCGUGGGGAGCGAACAGGAUUAGAUACCCCGGUAGUC
rnacentral:rRNA from 1 species